rnacentral:sRNA from 1 species
AUAUUUUAUAAAUAGAUACAAUUUGUAAACUUUUAUAUAUACUAACUUUAAAAAAUAAAUUGUUUCCGCGGUAUACCGCGGGUUAAAAUCUAGUUUUAAUAACAAUUCUUGAAUUUUGUAAUUCGAGAGAA